rnacentral:rRNA from 1 species
GACGAACGCUGGCGGCGUGCUUAACACAUGCGAGUCGAACGGAAAGGCCCUGCUUUUGUGGGGUGCUCGAGUGGCGAACGGGUGAGUAACACGUGAGUAACCUGCCCUUGACUUGGGGAUAACUUCAGGAAACUGGGGCUAAUACCGGAUAGGAGCUCCUGCUGCAUGGUGGGGGUUGGAAAGUUUCGGCGGUUGGGGAUGGACUCGCGGCUUAUCAGCUUGUUGGUGGGGUAGUGGCUUACCAAGGCUUUGACGGGUAGCCGGCCUGAGAGGGUGACCGGCCACAUUGGGACUGAGAUACGGCCCAGACUCCUACGGGAGGCAGCAGUGGGGAAUAUUGCACAAUGGGCGGAAGCCUGAUGCAGCAACGCCGCGUGCGGGAUGACGGCCUUCGGGUUGUAAACCGCUUUCGCCUGUGACGAAGCGUGAGUGACGGUAAUGGGUAAAGAAGCACCGGCUAACUACGUG